UACGUAGGUGACAAGCGUUGUCCGGAUUUACUGGGCGUAAAGAGCGCGCAGGCGGUCGAUCAAGUCGAGUGUGAAAGCCCCCGGCUCAACUGGGGAGGGUCAUUCGAUACUGAUCGACUCGAAGGCAGGAGAGGGUAGUGGAAUUCCCGGUGUAGUGGUGAAAUGCGUAGAUAUCUGGAGGAAUACCGGUGGCGAAGGCGGCAUCCUGGACCGACAUUGACGCUGAGGAGCGAAAGCUAGGGGAGCAAACGGG
rnacentral:rRNA from 1 species